CCUACGGGUGGCAGCAGUGGGGAAUAUUGGGCAAUGGGCGCAAGCCUGACCCAGCAACGCCGCGUGAAGGAAGAAGGCUCUCAGGUUGUAAACUUCUUUUAUCAGGGACGAAGCAAGUGACGGUACCUGAUGAAUAAGCCACGGCUAACUACGUGCCAGCAGCCGCGGUAAUACGUAGGUGGCAAGCGUUAUCCGGAUUUACUGGGUGUAAAGGGCGUGUAGGCGGGAAAGCAAGUCAGAUGUGAAAACCAUGGGCUCAACCUGUGGCCUGCAUUUGAAACUGUUUUUCUUGAGUACUGGAGAGGCAGACGGAAUGCCUGGUGUAGCGGUGAAAUGCGUAGAUAUCAGGAGGAACACCGGCGGCGAAGGCGGCCUGCUGGACUGAAACUGACGUUGAGGCUCGAAAGCGUGGGGAGCAAACAGGAUUAGAUACCCGUGUAGUC
rnacentral:rRNA from 1 species